rnacentral:misc_RNA from 1 species
GGCAAAAUGGUUUCGUUUCACUUAUAUAAGCCGAAAUUGCCACCCCUAUAUGUACUAAUAGUUCUUAUACAUCUACAGUUGCAUAUUCAAACUACAAAGUUUUUCUUUCUGAAAUUGUAGAAUUCGUCACUCAAGGUUUUAUAAGACUUGCUCACCAUCUGAGAUUCUAAUGAAAUCGAGGCUCGAUUUCUGACUUUUGAGUACUUUUCUCUCCAACCCAAAGUUGAAGGUUCGAGAAAUCCAACUUGAGUUUCGAUUAUCAGAUAUUUAGCUGAACCUUCGCAUGAGCUGCUAGCAAAAUGAUUCAAGCUC